AAACGACUUCAUCAAUUAUCAAAAAAAUAGAACUACCGUAGCGCCACUGCUGACUUCUGUUUAAAAUAAGCACAAGAAGAUAUUGGGUUCUUGGUUAAGAAAACAAAAAAUGUAAAGUCACGGUAUGUAACUAAGUUAGAAGCAUAGCAAAUCAAUUAAGCUUCUGCUUGUGCAUCAGUGGAACAGCUUUAGACACCGUCCAUUGCUUUAUAUUGGAGAAGACCGCAAGGAAGAUGAAUUGAGAAAAGCAAAGAAGCAUAAUUAAUGCCUCAAAGAGAAAGGGAUACCUCUCAGGAGGGCGCACCACCAAGUAAACAACGUGGAGAAUAAGUGAACAAAACAGAGAGCAUCCAAAUAAAACCCUCGUAGAAUGAAAUGCUCCCGCUUUUUGCUUUCCUUUAUUUGAUGCAUUGAUAAUAAG
rnacentral:misc_RNA from 1 species